CCCUUAGAUGUCCUGGGCCGCACGCGCGCUACACUGAACGGAUCAGCGCGUUUUCCCUUCCCGAGAGGGACGUGUAACCUGCUGAACCCCGUUCGUGGUAGGGAUCGGGGCUUGCAAUUAUUCCCCGUGAACCAGGAAUGCCCAGUAAGUGCAAGUCAUAAGCUUGCGUUGAUUACGUCCCUGCCCUUUGUACACACCGCCCGUCGCUACUACCGAUUGAACGUUUUAGUGAGGUACUCGGACUGAGCCUCAGAAGAUUCACGUCUUUUGUGCUGCUCGGGAAGAUUCCCAAACUUGAGCGUUUAGAGGAAGUAAAAGUCGUAACA
rnacentral:rRNA from 1 species